UACGUAGGGAGCAAGCGUUGUCCGGAUUUAUUGGGCGUAAAGAGCUCGUAGGCGGCUUAGAAAGUCAGGUGUGAAAACUCUGGGCUUAACCCAGAGACGCCACUUGAUACUUCUAUGGCUUGAGUUCGGUAGGGCCUGGAAUCCUGGUGUAGCGGUGAAAUGCGCAGACUAUCAGGAGGAACACCGGUGGCGAAGGCGGUUCUCUGGGCAUGUCCUGACGCUGAGGAGCGAAAGUGUGGGGAGCGAACAGG
rnacentral:rRNA from 1 species